GACGAACGCUGGCGGCGUGCUUAACACAUGCAAGUCGAACGAAGUGGCGAACGGGUGAGUAAAGCGUAAUCAACCUGCCCUUAAGAGGGGGACAACAGUUGGCAACGACUGCUAAUACCGCAUAAUGCAGGAGGGGAGUGCGUCUGAUUAGAUAGUUGGAGGGGUAACGGCCCACCAAGGCGAGGAUCAGUAGCCGGGCUGAGAGGAUGAACGGCCACAUGGGGACGGAGACACGGCCCAGACUCCUACGGUAGGCAGCAGUGGGGAAUCGUCCGCAAUGGACGAAAGUCUGACGGAGCAACGCCGCGUGAGUGAUGACGGCCUUCGGGUUGUAAAGCUCUGUUAAUCGGGACGCGGUACCGGAAUAGAAAGCCACGGCUAACUACGUGCCAGCAGCCGCGGUAAUUC
rnacentral:rRNA from 1 species